rnacentral:tRNA from 1 species
GGGUCGUUAGCUCAGUCGGUAGAGCAUCUGACUUUUAAUCAGGUGGUCAUAGGUUCGAUUCCUAUACGACCCA